GAUGAACGCUGGCGGCGUGCCUAAUACAUGCAAGUAGAACGCUGAAGGAGGAGCUUGCUCUUCUGGAUGAGUUGCGAACGGGUGAGUAACGCGUAGGUAACCUGCCUGGUAGCGGGGGAUAACUAUUGGAAACGAUAGCUAAUACCGCAUGACAACAGUUAUUGCAUGAUAACUGUUUAAAAGGGGCAACUGCUCCACUACCAGAUGGACCUGCGUUGUAUUAGCUAGUUGGUGAGGUAACGGCUCACCAAGGCGACGAUACAUAGCCGACCGGAGAGGGGGGUCGGCCACCCUGGGACUGCGACACGGCCCAGACUCCUUCGGGAGGCAGCAGUAGGGAAUCGUCGGCAAUGGACGGAAGUCUGACCGAGCAACGCCGCGUGAGUGAAGAAGGUUUUCGGAUCGUAAAGCUCUGUUGUAAGGGAAGAACGAGUGUGAGAGUGGAAAGUUCACACUGUGACGGUAUCUUACCAGAAAGGGACGGCUAACUACGUG
rnacentral:rRNA from 1 species